AACUGGGGCGUGACUACUUUCAGUGUCUCCAACAACCCUCCACUUGAGCUUCCUCAUCGCUGACUUCUUUUGGUUGGCGGACAGGUAGUGGCAUGAUUUUUACGGCGAAGUUCAGCGAUGAAGUGAUUGGCAAAGAACAGUAUAGGUGGCCCUGGUGACAAGGGCAUCCGGAUCAAGGACGAGCUUGACAAGCCGAGUGGAGAUCACAGAAACUAUUGUGUACAAGAGUCUGGAAGAUACUCUCGCCCUGGGGUAAGAUAGAAGAAUUGUUUUUCUAUUUAACUUGUUUUUUCCUCACAGGGGUUCCCUGAAUCAAGUUUAAGUAACAAACUGUAGAUCUUAUCUCUGUAUGUCUUAAGGCCGAACCAAAGCUAUCUUCCUAAUUUAAAUGACAAGCUUCCACUGAGA